rnacentral:rRNA from 1 species
UACGAAGGGGGCUAGCGUUGCUCGGAAUCACUGGGCGUAAAGCGCACGUAGGCGGCUUUCUAAGUCAGGGGUGAAAUCCUGGAGCUCAACUCCAGAACUGCCUUUGAUACUGGAGAGCUCGAGUCCGGAAGAGGUGAGUGGAACUCCGAGUGUAGAGGUGAAAUUCGUAGAUAUUCGGAAGAACACCAGUGGCGAAGGCGGCUCACUGGCCCGGUACUGACGCUGAGGCACGAAAGCGUGGGGAGCAAACAGG